rnacentral:lncRNA from 10 species
GCAUCAAAUAUUUGUGCAAGAAUUUGGAAAAAUAGAAGAUGAAUCAUUGAUUGAAUAGUUAUAAAGAUGUUAUAGUAAAUUUAUUUUAUUUUAGAUAUUAAAUGAUGUUUUAUUAGAUAAAUUUCAAUCAGGGUUUUUAGAUUAAACAAACAAACAAUUGGGUACCCAGUUAAAUUUUCAUUUCAGAUAAACAACAAAUAAUUUUUUAGUAUA